CAAUCUCCCUAGCUGGAUCAGAGUCACUCAAUCUCUUCUUCUUUGCUCGCUCUGUUCUCUGAUUCUUGUCGAAGACGACUUAAGUCUUCCGUCUGUGCCUCUAUUUUGUAUAUGAUCUGUCUGAUUCGUAAGAUUCUCCUACCAAGUUUUUUUUUUAUCCGGUAAACAAACCCAAUCUUGGCGAAGCCGGAAACAAACUAAAAACAAAUGCUCACCAGAGCUCCUCUCCUCUCCCCUUCCAUUUUUCUUUUCAUUUCUUUGUUCCUUUCUUCCUUUUUGUUGUUUUUUAUUUGGUCCUUUUUUCUCUGUUUUUCCUUCCCGUUUCCCCCCUCCCCCCUUUUCCCUUUCUUCUCUUUCCUUUUUUCAAUUAUAUGAUUCUAACUGAUUUUUUUCCCUUGUUAGAAUUGGUCUGGAUAUGAAGCUACUAAACGCAUGAGACGCAGAAAUCAUCUUAAUUGGUAAGCUCCAAUAUUUCCCUAAAGUUUUACAGUUUCCUUUAUUUAAAAAAGAAAGACAUUUUCCCUGCUAAGAUUUGUUAAUCUUUCGAUUAGUAACAGGGGGAUGAUAAUGUUCUGGAUGGUUUAGCAAGUCAAAAAAGUUUGAUUUUUUUCAUACCCUUUUCUAAAUAAUCAAGAACAUUAUAAUUGUACUUUUUUGGAUUGAAAUAUCAUAUAUUUCAUAGCAUUUUGCCGAAGGAUUAAUAGGGAAUGCCUUUGGAAAUAUGCUUUCAACAAUCAAUCAUAUGCAUGUAGAAAAAUUACUCCACUUCUUUUGUUUGGUUUGAAAAAUGAAGUAGUGUAUUUUUUGGCUAAUACAGGAAGUUUUCUGAAGCAAGACUUAUCACUCGAGAUAUCACAAGUGAAUAGGUGAGAAAGUUGAAGUUUUGAUGUUAGAAAUCACAUCGGGAAUGGUGAUACAAUUGACCAUAAACCAUUUAUGAAAAUUUGUUUUUUUGCUUCCACUGGACUGGAAUGCACUUACUUUUAUACUUUUUUUCCUUCAUUCUCCCAAUUUUUUUGUCUCCUAUGUUUCGGAAUUUUUUGUCUAAAUGUUUUCUUUUAAGCAGAAAAAGUAGAAAUAGACUUUUGUGUGUGCAUAUAGGGAUUUAAAAAGUAAAUACACUUUUAGAGUUAAAUAAAAAAUGAAUGGUGUUUGUUAAAUUGGUUGGUGCAGAAUAUGAUGAAAUUGGGGGGGGGGGGGCAUUGCAAGAGUUAAUUCAGUUUGAAGGCAUUCUCCAGUUAUGAUUCUGAUACUUGUGUAUUUGCCAUACUGCCUAUCUUUACUGCCUUGAAAUUUAGCGGGGUUCUAUCUAUCUCUAUUGAUAGCAGUUACUGUUUCUCAACAGUUGAAAUGUCUUACAUUUAGCGGUUAGAGCAGCUGAUGUUCUAUGCUCAAAUUUUCCAGCUCUUGUUUAGUUGUUGCUUGGGAUUUUCAAAAAAACUUAAAUUGUCAAUUUUCUUGGUUUCUUUUUCAUGUCUCUGCCAUUGUCAAUUUGCAAUGGAAUUGAACUUAUUUCAUCUUUUGAUGACUUUAGUUUGAAGUUUUUAAUUAUAGUUUUGAAUAAGUUUCAACUAAUUGUGGGAAAGAAAGUUAAAGUGGCAAAAUUUGUUAGAUUGGUUGGUAGAUGAACACUUUGGCCACAAAUGUUGUUAUGAAAGGUGUAUGUUUACCAAAAACCUAUUACUUAGAAGAAAAAUAUCCCUAGAUCUCUUUUCCUUCUUUGACCAUAUAGUUUUGGAUUCAUGGGUUGUUCAAAUUUAGCACAAUGUCUUUGGCUAAAAACUUGGUGAUUAUUUUUGUGUAACAUUUUAUAGCUUUCUUUUUUUCUAUUUGUUUCCAUUUUGCAUAUGAACAAUUUAUUUUUGCUUCUAUUUAUUGUUGUUAACUUUUUGGGUUCAAUUUUAUAGGGGUAAUGCUUCGUUUAGUACCAAUCAGUCAAGCCCAAGCUUUGGCCUUUUAGCAUAGUUCAGCUUUAGACAUGUAAGCUGUUUACAC
rnacentral:lncRNA from 1 species